UGAUGUUAGCGGCGGACGGGUGAGUAACACGUGGAUAACCUACCUAUAAGACUGGGAUAACUUCGGGAAACCGGAGCUAAUACCGGAUAAUAUUUUGAACCGCAUGGUUCAAAAGUGAAAGACGGUCUUGCUGUCACUUAUAGAUGGAUCCGCGCUGCAUUAGCUAGUUGGUAAGGUAACGGCUUACCAAGGCAACGAUGCAUAGCCGACCUGAGAGGGUGAUCGGCCACACUGGAACUGAGACACGGUCCAGACUCCUACGGGAGGCAGCAGUAGGGAAUCUUCCGCAAUGGGCGAAAGCCUGACGGAGCAACGCCGCGUGAGUGAUGAAGGUCUUCGGAUCGUAAAACUCUGUUAUUAGGGAAGAACAUAUGUGUAAGUAACUGUGCACAUCUUGACGGUACCUAAUCAGAAAGCCACGGCUAACUACGUGCCAGCAGCCGCGGUAAUACGUAGGUGGCAAGCGUUAUCCGGAAUUAUUGGGCGUAAAGCGCGCGUAGGCGGUUUUUUAAGUCUGAUGUGAAAGCCCACGGCUCAACCGUGGAGGGUCAUUGGAAACUGGAAAACUUGAGUGCAGAAGAGGAAAGUGGAAUUCCAUGUGUAGCGGUGAGAUGCGCAGAGAUAUGGAGGAACACCAGUGGCGAAGGCGACUUUCUGGUCUGUAACUGACGCUGAUGCGCGAAAGCGUGGGGAUCAAACAGGAUUAGAUACCCUGGUAGUCCACGCCGUAAACGAUGAGUGCUAAGUGUUAGGGGGUUUCCGCCCCUUAGUGCUGCAGCUAACG
rnacentral:rRNA from 1 species